AAAGAAAGUUUACAACAAGUUGGUAGGCUCUGUUUUUACUUCGGUUGAAAGAAAGUUUCUUUAAAGAAAGUUUUAAAAAAGUUGGUAGGCUGUGUUUUAACUUUUGUUUGUACGAAGUUUGUUCAAAGAAAGUUUAAAAAAAGUUAGUAGGCUCUGUUUUUAUUUUCGUUUGAAGAAAGCUUGUUUAAAGCAACAUUAAAGAAAGUUGAUAGGCUCCGUUCUUGUUUUCACUUGAAGCAAGUUCGUUUGAAGAAAGUUUAAAGGAAGUUUAAGGAAAGUUGGUAGGCUCUGUCUUUACUUUUGUGUAAAGAAAAUUAUAACAACUGUAUUUGUUUCAUUCAUUUGCUCAUUUAACACCGCAAUAAAGAAGCAUAACAUGCAAUAUCGGUAAUACAAUAAUUAGUACGAAUAAACUAAGUGUCAUACUGACAAUUGCUUCCUGCAGUUUAAGAGAAAGCGAGGAGACAGAAUAAUUUUUGUUAUUAUGCGUGCAUAUAUAAUUAGCAGAAGCUAAGGUAAAAUAUCUUAGCCUGUCCCAGUGAAAUUGUAUAUAACGCUUUCCUACUUCAAAAAAAAAAGGUUGUUCUACACUGACUGGUACUCGAACCCGGGACUUCUGCGUGUGAGGCAGAGACGGUACCACUACUCCCAUAUUACAGUAGCACUAGCAGGAACUAUACAAUGCCUAGACUUUCUGACAUGUCGUAAGGCCAUUUAUUUGUUUUCACGACGCUUACCUUUUUUUCGGAAUUCGGCUUCUUAAGAAACCUUUCCUUUACGAUUUUAUGCAAACUAUACACAAAACUCUCGCAAAUGCAGUACCUGCGGUCACUGUUAAAAGAGCCUUUCUUUUCAAAACUGCGGGUGAUUGUUGUGUUGAUAUUGUCACGUAGUAGUGACGCUGAAGUCAACAGUCGUAAAACUGUGUAUGACGAAACUAAUUCUUUAUUGGGCGAACCUGUGCCCACAAAAGCAAGCUACACUCGAAGCACAACGAAAGCGGCGAACACAGUCGGCGGUCGUCGAAAUCUCAUCAGCGGCGAAACGCGUCGGCUUUUAUACCUGAGUCAUCGAAGGUUCCAGAUUAAUCCCUGAUGCCCGCGGGUCUUCCAGAAAGUUCUAGACAAUUCGCGUCGGUUAUACAAUCAGAUAACAUAAGCGUCGGUGAAAACAGGCAACGGAAAGAAGCAUCGAUAACGUUCUAGAAGCUUCCGAUGCAGGCGCGUCCUGCGCCGAGCGAUAACGUUUAACACUUGUUAGCCGGUGGAAAGCGGCCACCGGUGAAAGAUAAACAUGUAUACGUGUCAAUAUAUUGGCGGGAUUCGUACGGCAGCAAGGAUUCCGUAAAUGCUUGCUAAGGCACACAAGUGAAUAAUUUACGAUUGUCAGUUUACUGAGUAGUCAGUUGUGUACCUGGCAUGGCCGUAUCUGUUUGUUUACACGUGCGUGCAAGCAGUACGCCUGUUGCACUUCAGCCGAAGCUUCAGCUGCUGUAGCACGCCAGCCAUCGCCACGUUUUGUUACCUUUAUUCCUGACGCUAAGAGGAAAUAUGGUCUCACCAAUUCAAGAUGAGGGCACAUAUUCUCGAAAACAUUACACUUGGCGCCAUAAUUAACGUGUAUGUGGGCGGUGAUCACGGAUAUGUGCUCGGUAAGUGUCACAUUAGCCCGUAGACCGUCCGUCAUUUCAAGCAGACGGAGCCGCACGGGCGGCGCGUGGAUUGGCUCAUGCUUCAGCUACGACUUCCCUUGAGUGACAAAUGCGAAUCUCGAAGGCUAUGCUCCUGAAGCGAUGCGAAUCGGGGAGGCAGGUUCCUUUUCGUUAACCGCAGUGUGGCGCUGCUGCAGUGUUUUGUUCAAUAAAUCCAAUCCAAUCCAAGUUGCUGUAGUUUAUGGACCACGUUGGCUGUGCGCGAGUGCUUGUUGCAGUGAGGCGGUAGUUGAAUUUUAUAUUAGAAGUGCCUAGGCAAAAUGUGCUUCUUAUCGUGUGCAUUAACCAUCGCACAACCUCUGGACUCGUGAAACACCGUGUGUUCGCCGUGUGUUUCGAGCGAUACGCCAGUGUCAACAGUGUCUUACAGCGCCCGUCCGAGCUGCUUUUGUUCCCGCCUGCCUGCGCUCUCUCGUGAAAAGCCUGGUACUGGGGCUUCAUCACAGUGUAUGGAAGAAUUUGUUGUAGGUUGUGCGUUCGUGGUGCUGUAGUUCAUCGGCAGCUCUACAGUGUUUGCGCCCGAAAGAGAGUUGGUGCCACGGUACCUGUGGGACGAAGGAGUGUUUGCUGACUACGUCUUGAAAGUUGAAGGCUAUGCGGAUUCUGGAGGCAUCCCACAGGAACCUGCAGCACUGCUGCAAGCUGGAGAGCACCACUAUAAAGCACCUGAUCUGCGUGCUUUUACAAAGGCUUGCAGCAAGAGGGAUAUCAAGAACACGGGAGAUGUCAAGACCACAUUAUAGUCACUGCUUGCUUGUGGUUUCUGAGGGCAUGUAUGAAAGGGUUGGAAAAUAAACAUCAGUGUUUGAAA